GUAUAGUACCGUGAGGGAAAGGUGAAAAGAACCCCGGGAGGGGAGUGAAAUAGAACCUGAAACCCUGCACUUACAAGCUGUGGAAGCACAUUUCUUGUGUGACCGCGUACUUUUUGUAGAACGGGCCAACGAGUUACGUUAAGUAGCAAGGUUAAGCACUUAAGGUGCGGAGCCGUAGCGAAAGCGAGUUUUAACUGAGCGUUCAGUUACUUGACGUAGACCCGAAACCGGGCGACCUACCCAUGAGCAGGAUGAAGCGAAAGUAAAAUUUCGUGGAGGUCCGAACCCACGAGCGUUGAAAAGCUCGGGGAUGACUUGUGGGUAGCGGUGAAAUUCCAAUCGAGCCCGGAGAUAGCUGGUUCUCCCCGAAAUAGCUUUAGGGCUAGCCUCAAGGUGAGAGAUACGGAGGUAGAGCACUGAAUGUCCUAGGGGGUAUUGCACCUACCGAAGACUAUCAAACUCCGAAUGCCGUCAUCUUAUACUUGGGAGUCAGACUGUGGGUGAUAAGAUUCAUAGUCGAAAGGGCAACAGCCCAGAUCGUCAGCUAAGGUCCCUAAAUGUAAGUUAAGUGGUAAAGGAUGUGGGAUUGCACAGACAACCAGGAUGUUGGCUUAGAAGCAGCCACUCAUUCAAAGAGUGCGUAAUAGCUCACUGGUCGAGUGAUCCUGCGCCGAAGAUUUCCGGGGCUAAAACUUACUACCGAAGCUACGGCAUCAGUAAUGAUGGGUAGGGGAGCUUCCCAUACGGGUUGAAGCAUGACCGUAAGGACAUGUGGACAGUAUGGGAGUGAGAAUGUUGGCAUGAGUAGCGAGAUGUGGGUGAGAAUCCCACAGGCCGUAAACCCAAGGUUUCCAGGGGAAGGUUCGUCCGCCCUGGGUUAGUCGGGACCUAAGCUGAGGCCGAAAGGCGUAGGUGAUGGACAACAGGUUGAUAUUCCUGUACUACCGAUAACCGUUUGAGAGAAGGGAUGACACAGUAGGAUAAGCUAAGCACACUGUUGGUUAUGUGUGCCCAAGCAUUGAGGCAGUCAAAGUAGGCAAAUCCGCUUUGAUAAUGCUGGGAUGUGAUGGGGAGCGAAAUUUAGUAGCGAAGUAGCUGAUUUCACACUGUCAAGAAAAGUCUCUAUCGAGGUUAAAGGUACCCGUACCGCAAACCGACACAGGUGGGUGAGGAGAGUAUCCUAAGGCCAGCGAGAGAACUGUUGUUAAGGAACUCGGCAAAAUGACCCCGUAACUUAGGGAUAAGGGGUGCCACCAUCAGGUGGCCGCAGAGAAUAGGCCCAAGCGACUGUUUACCAAAAACAUAGGUUUCUGCUAAGUCGCAAGACGAUGUAUAGGAGCUGACGCCUGCCCGGUGCUGGAAGGUUAAGGGGAUCUGUUAGAGCAAUCGAAGCAGUGAACUUAAGCCCCAGUAAACGGCGGCCGUAACUAUAACGGUCCUAAGGUAGCGAAAUUCCUUGUCGGGUAAGUUCCGACCCGCACGAAAGGCGUAACGAUUUGGGCACUGUCUCAACAACAGACUCGGUGAAAUUGUAAUUCCGGUGAAGAUGCCGGAUACCUGCGACAGGACGGAAAGACCCCAUGGAGCUUUACUGUAGCUUGACAUUGGGUCUUGGUACUACAUGUACAGGAUAGGUGGGAGGCUUUGAAACCAGGACGCCAGUUUUGGCGGAGCCAUCCUUGGGAUACCACCCUUGUAGUACUGGGACUCUAACCAUAGGCCAUGAAUCUGGUCUUGGGACACUGUCAGGUGGGCAGUUUGACUGGGGCGGUCGCCUCCCAAAAGGUAACGGAGGCGCUCAAAGGUUCUCUCAGUACGGUCGGAAAUCGUACGUAGAGUGUAAAGGCAAAAGAGAGCUUGAUUGCAAGACAUACAGGUCGAGCAAGGAUGAAAAUCGGACUUAGUGAUCCGGUGGUUCUGCGUGGAAGGGCCAUCGCUCAACGGAUAAAAGCUACCCUGGGGAUAACAGGCUUAUCUCCCCCAAGAGUCCACAUCGACGGGGAGGUUUGGCACCUCGAUGUCGGCUCAUCACAUCCUGGGGCUGUAGUAGGUCCCAAGGGUUGGGCUGUUCGCCCAUUAAAGUGGUACGCGAGCUGGGUUCAGAACGUCGUGAGACAGUUCGGUCCCUAUCCGUCGCAGGCGUAGGAAAUUUGAGAAGACCUGUCCUUAGUACGAGAGGACCGGGAUGGACGUACCUCUGGUGUACCAGUUGUCCUGCCAAGGGCAUGGCUGGGUAGCUAUGUACGGAAUGGAUAAGCGCUGAAAGCAUCUAAGCGCGAAGCCAACUUCAAGAUAAGAUUUCCCACCGCAAGGGUAAGACCCCAGAAAGACUAUCUGGUUGAUAGGUCGAAGGUGUAAGUGCAGCAAUGUAUUUAGCUUAUCGAUACUAAUAGGUCGAGGACUUGACC
rnacentral:rRNA from 1 species